rnacentral:rRNA from 1 species
GACGAACGCUGGCGGCGUGCUUAACACAUGCAAGUCGAACGGAAAGGCCUGCUUUCCCUUGUGGAUUGCGGGUACUCGAGUGGCGAACGGGUGAGUAACACGUGAGUGAUUUGCCCCAACUUGGGUACAAGCCUGGGGAACUGGGUCUAAUUCCCGAUAGGACCGGAGGGUGGCGCCUGUGGUUGAAAACCUUUUUCUUGGGGUUGGGGGUGGGCUCGCGGCCUAUUAGGCUGGUGGUGGGGUAAAGGCCUACCAAGGCGGGGACGGGUAGCCGGACUGAGAGGGUGGACGGCGGAAUUGGGACUGAGUUACGGCCCAGACUCGUACGGGAAGCAGCGGUGGGGAAUAUUGCGGAGUGAGCGGAAGCCUGAUGCAGCGACGCCGGGUGGAGGAUGACGGGCUUCGAGUUGUAAACUCCUUUCGACCAAGAGGAAGCCACCUGGUUGGAAGGGUGGUGACGGUAGUGGUAGAAGAAGCACCGGCUAACUACGUG